AUUGAACGCUGGCGGCAGGCUUAACACAUGCAAGUCGAACGAGUGGCGGACGGGUGAGUAAUGCUUGGGAUUCUAGCUUAUGGAGGGGGAUAACUACGGGAAACUGUAGAUAAUACCGCGUACCAUAGGAUGAGCCCAAGUGGGAUUAGGUAGUUGGUUGGGUAAAGGCUCAUCAAGCCGACGAUCUCUAGCUGGUCUGAGAGGAUGACCAUCAACACUGGGGCUGAGACACGGCCCAGGCUCCUACGGUAGUCAGCAGUGGGGAAUAUUGCGCAAUGGGGGCAACCUGACGCAGCCAUGCCGCGUGAAUGAAGAAGGCCUUCGGGUUGUAAAGUUCUUUCGGUAGCGAGGCGUUAACUACAGAAGAAGCACCGGCUAACUCCGUGCCAGCCGCCGCGGUAAUAC
rnacentral:rRNA from 1 species